rnacentral:rRNA from 1 species
GAUGGGGAUGCGUUCCAUUAGAUAGUAGGCGGGGUAACGGCCCACCUAGUCAACGAUGGAUAGGGGUUCUGAGAGGAAGGUCCCCCACAUUGGAACUGAGACACGGUCCAAACUCCUACGGGAGGCAGCAGUGAGGAAUAUUGGUCAAUGGGCGAUGGCCUGAACCAGCCAAGUAGCGUGAAGGAUGACUGCCCUAUGGGUUGUAAACUUCUUUUAUAAAGGAAUAAAGUCGGGUAUGCAUACCCGUUUGCAUGUACUUUAUGAAUAAGGAUCGGCUAACUCCGUGCCAGCAGCCGCGGUAAUACGGAGGAUCCGAGCGUUAUCCGGAUUUAUUGGGUUUAAAGGGAGCGUAGAUGGAUGUUUAAGUCAGUUGUGAAAGUUUGCGGCUCAACCGUAAAAUUGCAGUUGAUACUGGAUGUCUUGAGUGCGGUUGAGGCAGGCGGA